rnacentral:rRNA from 1 species
CACUAUCGUUAACUGAAUACAUAGGUUAACGAGGCGAACCGGGGGAACUGAAACAUCUAAGUACCCCGAGGAAAAGAAAUCAACCGAGAUUCCCCCAGUAGCGGCGAGCGAACGGGGAGCAGCCCAGAGUCUGAAUCAGCUUGUGUGUUAGUGGAACGGUCUGGAAAGUCCGACGGUACAGGGUGAUAGUCCCGUACACCAAAAUGCACAGGUUGUGAACUCGAAGAGUAGGGCGGGACACGUGGUAUCCUGUCUGAAUAUGGGGGGACCAUCCUCCAAGGCUAAAUACUCCUGACUGACCGAUAGUGAACCAGUACCGUGAGGGAAAGGCGAAAAGAACCCCGGCGAGGGGAGUGAAAAAGAACCUGAAACCGUGUACGUACAAGCAGUGGGAGCACCUUCGGGUGUGACUGCGUACCUUUUGUAUAAUGGGUCAGCGACUUAUAUUCUGUAGCAAGGUUAACCGUAUAGGGGAGCCGCAGGGAAACCGAGUCUUAACUGGGCGUUAAGUUGCAGGGUAUAGACCCGAAACCCGGUGAUCUAGCCAUGGGCAGGUUGAAGGUUGGGUAACACUAACUGGAGGACCGAACCGACUAAUGUUGAAAAAUUAGCGGAUGACUUGUGGCUGGGGGUGAAAGGCCAAUCAAACCGGGAGAUAGCUGGUUCUCCCCGAAAGCUAUUUAGGUAGCGCCUCGUGAACUCAUCUUCGGGGGUAGAGCACUGUUUCGGCUAGGGGGUCAUCCCGACUUACCAACCCGAUGCAAACUACGAAUACCGAAGAAUGUUAUCACGGGAGACACACGGCGGGUGCUAACGUCCGUCGUGAAGAGGGAAACAACCCAGACCGCCAGCUAAGGUCCCAAAGUCAUGGUUAAGUGGGAAACGAUGUGGGAAGGCACAGACAGCCAGGAUGUUGGCUUAGAAGCAGCCAUCAUUUAAAGAAAGCGUAAUAGCUCACUGGUCGAGUCGGCCUGCGCGGAAGAUGUAACGGGGCUAAACCAUGCACCGAAGCUGCGGCAGCGACACUAUGUGUUGUUGGGUAGGGGAGCGUUCUGUAAGCCUGCGAAGGUGNUGCUGGAGGUAUCAGAAGUGCGAAUGCUGACAUAAGUAACGAUAAAGCGGGUGAAAAGCCCGCUCGCCGGAAGACCAAGGGUUCCUGUCCAACGUUAAUCGGGGCAGGGUGAGUCGACCCCUAAGGCGAGGCCGAAAGGCGUAGUCGAUGGGAAACAGGUUAAUAUUCCUGUACUUGGUGUUACUGCGAAGGGGGGACGGAGAAGGCUAUGUUAGCCGGGCGACGGUUGUCCCGGUUUAAGCAUGUAGGCUGAUUAUCCAGGCAAAUCCGGAUAAUCAAGGCUGAGGUGUGAUGACGAGGCACUACGGUGCUGAAGUAACAAAUGCCCUGCUUCCAGGAAAAGCCUCUAAGCAUCAGGUAACAUUAAAUCGUACCCCAAACCGACACAGGUGGUCAGGUAGAGAAUACCAAGGCGCUUGAGAGAACUCGGGUGAAGGAACUAGGCAAAAUGGUGCCGUAACUUCGGGAGAAGGCACGCUGGUGUGUAGGUGAAGCCCCUGCGGGUGGAGCUGAGACCAGUCGAAGAUACCAGCUGGCUGCAACUGUUUAUUAAAAACACAGCACUGUGCAAACACGAAAGUGGACGUAUACGGUGUGACGCCUGCCCGGUGCCGGAAGGUUAAUUGAUGGGGUUAUCCGUAAGGAGAAGCUCUUGAUCGAAGCCCCGGUAAACGGCGGCCGUAACUAUAACGGUCCUAAGGUAGCGAAAUUCCUUGUCGGGUAAGUUCCGACCUGCACGAAUGGCGUAAUGAUGGCCAGGCUGUCUCCACCCGAGACUCAGUGAAAUUGAACUCGCUGUGAAGAUGCAGUGUACCCGCGGCAAGACGGAAAGACCCCGUGAACCUUUACUAUAGCUUGACACUGAACAUUGAGCCUUGAUGUGUAGGAUAGGUGGGAGGCUUUGAAGCGUGGACGCCAGUCUGCGUGGAGCCAACCUUGAAAUACCACCCUUUAAUGUUUGAUGUUCUAACGUUGGCCCCUGACCGGGGUUGCGGACAGUGUCUGGUGGGUAGUUUGACUGGGGCGGUCUCCUCCCAAAGCGUAACGGAGGAGCACGAAGGUUAGCUAAUCCUGGUCGGACAUCAGGAGGUUAGUGCAAUGGCAUAAGCUAGCUUGACUGCGAGCGUGACGGCGCGAGCAGGUGCGAAAGCAGGUCAUAGUGAUCCGGUGGUUCUGAAUGGAAGGGCCAUCGCUCAACGGAUAAAAGGUACUCCGGGGAUAACAGGCUGAUACCGCCCAAGAGUUCAUAUCGACGGCGGUGUUUGGCACCUCGAUGUCGGCUCAUCACAUCCUGGGGCUGAAGUAGGUCCCAAGGGUAUGGCUGUUCGCCAUUUAAAGUGGUACGCGAGCUGGGUUUAGAACGUCGUGAGACAGUUCGGUCCCUAUCUGCCGUGGGCGCUGGAGAAUUGAGGGGGGCUGCUCCUAGUACGAGAGGACCGGAGUGGACGCAUCACUGGUGUUCGGGUUGUCAUGCCAAUGGCACUGCCCGGUAGCUAAAUGCGGAAGAGAUAAGUGCUGAAAGCAUCUAAGCACGAAACUUGCCCCGAGAUGAGUUCUCCCUGAGACUUUAAGUCUCCUGAAGGAACGUUGAAGACGACGACGUUGAUAGGCCGGGUGUGUAAGCGCAGCGAUGCGUUGAGCUAACCGGUACUAAUGAACCGUGAGGCUUAACCUU